rnacentral:sRNA from 1 species
CCUUCAGCACUUCCAGGAUCUGGCGCAUGAUCCGCCAUUCCUUUUCGAUCGGCUGAUAGGGAUCGGUAUUUGUGCCGAUCGCGAUCGGGCGAAGCUUAUAGUCCGGCUUCGCCAGCUCGCGCUCGAGAAGACG